rnacentral:rRNA from 1 species
AGCAGCCGCGGUAAUUCCAGCUCCAAUAGCGUAUAUUAAAGUUGCUGCAGUUAAAAAGCUCGUAGUUGAAUUUCGGGAUCGAUAUAUCGGUCGUGCCUCGGUACGUACUGGUAUUUUCGGUUCCUCCCUUCUGACGAACCUUGAUGUCAUUAAUUUGGUGUCUUGGGGAAUCAGGACUGUUACUUUGAAAAAAUUAGAGUGUUUAAAGCAGGCUCACGCUUGAAUACAUUAGCAUGGAAUAAUGAAAUAGGACGUUUGAUUCUAUUUUGUUGGUUUCUAGGAUCGACGUAAUGAUUAAUAGGGAUAGUUGGGGGCAUUAGUAUUCAAUUGUCAGAGGUGAAAUUCUUGGAUUUAUUGAAGACUAACUACUGCGAAAGCAUUUGCCAAGGAUGUUUUCAUUAAUCAAGAACGAAAGUUAGGGGAUCGAAGACGAUCAGAUACCGUCGUAGUCUUAACCAUAAACUAUGCCGACUAGGGAUCGGAUGAUGUUAAUUUUUUUAAUGACUCAUUCGGCGCCUUA